rnacentral:rRNA from 1 species
GAUGAACGCUGGCGGCGUGCCUAAUACAUGCAAGUCGAGCGAACAGACGAGGAGCUUGCUCGUCUGACGUUAGCGGCGGACGGGUGAGUAACACGUGGAUAACCUACCUAUAAGACUGGGAUAACUUCGGGAAACCGGAGCUAAUACCCGAUAAUAUAUUGAACUGCAUGGUUCCAUAGUGAAAGACGGUUUUGCUGUCACUUAUAGCUGGAUCCGCGCCGCAUUAGCUAGUUGGUAAGGUAACGGCUUACCAAGGCAACGAUGCGUAGCCGACCUGAGAGGGUGAUCGGCCACACGGGAACUGAGACACGGCCCAGACUCCUACGGGAGGCAGCAGUAGGGAAUCUUCCGCAAUGGGCGAAAGCCGGACGGAGCAACGCCGCGGGAGUGAUGAAGGUCUUCGGAUCGUAAAACUCUGUUAUUAGGGAAGAACAAAUGUGUAAGUAACUAUGCACGUCUUGACGGUACCUAAUCAGAAAGCCACGGCUAACUACGUG